rnacentral:rRNA from 1 species
UACGUAGGGUGCAAGCGUUAAUCGGAAUUACUGGGCGUAAAGCGUGCGCAGGCGGUUAUGCAAGACAGAGGUGAAAUCCCCGGGCUCAACCUGGGAACUGCCUUUGCGACUGCAUAGCUAGAGUACGGUAGAGGGGGAUGGAAUUCCGCGUGUAGCAGUGAAAUGCGUAGAUAUGCGGAGGAACACCGAUGGCGAAGGCAACUCCCCUGGACCUGUACUCGACGCUCAU